rnacentral:rRNA from 1 species
UACGUAGGGUGCGAGCGUUGUCCGGAAUUAUUGGGCGUAAAGAGCUUGUAGGCGGUUUGUCGCGUCUGCCGUGAAAAUCCGGGGCUCAACCCCGGACUUGCGGUGGGUACGGGCAGACUAGAGUGUGGUAGGGGAGACUGGAAUUCCUGGUGUAGCGGUGAAAUGCGCAGAUAUCUGGAGGAAUACCGGUGGCGAAGGCGGCAUCCUGGACCGGCAUUGACGCUGAGGAGCGAAAGCUAGGGGAGCAAACGGG